UCAACCAUGUUUAAUCCCCAACAUUACAUACGGUCAAAGCCAGCACAAUGGGAAGAAGCUUCAAUGAUGAAGACUCACUUCAGUAAUGAUCCUUCCGCAGGUUCACCUACGGAAA
rnacentral:misc_RNA from 1 species